rnacentral:rRNA from 1 species
AGUGAACGCUGGCGGUAGGCCUAACACAUGCAAGUCGAACGGCAGCACAGUAAGAGCUUGCUCUGACGGGUGGCGAGUGGCGGACGGGGGAGGAAUACAGCGGAAUCUACUUUUUCGUGGGGGAUAACGUGGGGAAACUUACGCUAAUACCGCAUACGACCUACGGGGGAAAGCAGGGGAUCUUCGGACCUUGCGCGAUUGAAUGAGCCGAUGUCGGAUUAGCUAGUUGGCGGGGUAAAGGCCCACCAAGGCGACGAUCCGUAGCUGGUCUGAGAGGAUGAUCAGCCACACUGGAACUGAGACACGGUCCAGACUCCUACGGGAGGCAGCAGUGGGGAAUAUUGGACAAUGGGCGCAAGCCUGAUCCAGCCAUACCGCGUGGGUGAAGAAGGCCUUCGGGUUGUAAAGCCCUUUUGUUGGGAAAGAAAAGCAGCAGGUUAAUACCCCGCUGUUCUGACGGUACCCAAAGAAUAAGCACCGGCUAACUUCGUG